GACGAACGCUUGCGACGUGCCUAAGAAAUGCAAGUCGAGCGAGGUAGCAAUACCUAGCGGCGAACGGUCGCGUAACACGUAAGCAACCUGCCCCAAAGACCGGGACAACGUUCCGAAAGGAGCGCUAAUACCGGAUGUGCCCGUCUGGAUGACCUCAUCUGGCGAGUAAAUCGAGCAAUCGGCUUUGGGAGGGGCUUGCGGCCUAUCAGCUAGAUGGUGGGGUAACGGCCUACCAUGGCGACGACGGGUAGCUGGUCUGAGAGGAUGGUCAGCCGGAUUGGGACUGAGAUAC
rnacentral:rRNA from 1 species